UACGUAGGGGGCUAGCGUUGUCCGGAAUCAUUGGGCGGAAAGCGCGCGUAGGCGGCCAGAUAAGUCCGGUGUGAAAGUCACAGGCUCAACCUGUGAAUGCCGCUGGAAACUGUCUGGCUAGAGUCCGGAAGGGGCGAGUGGAAUUCCUGGUGUAGCGGUGAAAUGCGCAGAUAUCAGGAGGAACACCAAUGGCGAAGGCAGCUCGCUGGAACGGUACUGACGCUGAGGCGCGAAAGCGUGGGGAGCGAACAGG
rnacentral:rRNA from 1 species